rnacentral:rRNA from 1 species
AGGGAAUUUUCGGCAAUGGGGGAAACCCUGACCGAGCAACGCCGCGUGAAUGACGAAGUACUUCGGUAUGUAAAGUUCUUUUAUUAGGGAAGAAUGGCUCGUGGAAAAGCGAGAGUGACGGUACCUAAUGAAUAAGCCCCGGCUAACUAUGUGCCAGCAGCCGCGGUAAUACAUAGGGGGCAAGCGUUAUCCGGAAUUAUUGGGCGUAAAGGGUGCGUAGGCGGCUAUUUAAGUCUUUGGUGUAAGUGCAGUGCUCAACGCUGUGAUGCUAAAGAAACUGGGUAGCUUGAGUGAGGUAGAGGCAAGUGGAAUUCCAUGUGUAGCGGUAAAAUGCGUAAAUAUAUGGAGGAACACCAGUGGCGAAGGCGGCUUGCUGGGCCUUAACUGACGCUGAGGCACGAAAGCGUGGGGAGCAAAC